rnacentral:tRNA from 1 species
GGUUCGGUAGUUCAGUUGGUUAGAAUACAUGCCUGUCACGCAUGGGGUCGCGGGUUCGAGAAUACAUGCCUGUCACGCAUGGGGUCGCGGGUUCGAGUCCCGUCCGGACCG